rnacentral:rRNA from 1 species
AGUCUUCGGACUGAGUGGCGGACGGGUGAGUAACGCGUGUGAAUCUGCCUAGAGGUCGGGGACAACCAUUGGAAACGAUGGCUAAUACCGGAUAUGCCUUACGGGGUGAAAGAUUAAUUGCCUUUAGAAGAGCUCGCGUCUGAUUAGCUAGUUGGUGAGGUAAGAGCUCACCAAGGCAGCGAUCAGUAGCUGGUCUGAGAGGAUGACCAGCCACACUGGGACUGAGACACGGCCCAGACUCCUACGGGAGGCAGCAGUGGGGAAUUUUCCGCAAUGGGCGAAAGCCUGACGGAGCAAGACCGCGUGAGGGAGGAAGGCUCUUGGGUUGUAAACCUCUUUUGUCAGGGAAGAACAAAAUGACGGUACCUGACGAAUCAGCAUCGGCUAACUCCGUGCCAGCAGCCGCGGUAAUACGGAGGAUGCAAGCGUUAUCCGGAAUUAUUGGGCGUAAAGCGUCCGCAGGUGGCUGAUCAAGUCUGCGGUCAAAGACCGGGGCUUAACCCUGGAAAGGCCGUGGAAACUGAUAGAGCUAGAGUACCGUAGGGGUAGAGGGAAUUCCCGGUGUAGCGGUGAAAUGCGUAGAGAUCGGGAAGAACAUCGGUGGCGAAAGCGCUCUACUGGACGGUGACUGACACUCAGGGACGAAAGCUAGGGGAGCGAAUGGGAUUAGAUACCCCAGUAGUCCUAGCCGUAAACGAUGGAUACUAG